rnacentral:rRNA from 1 species
UACGGGGGGGGCAAGCGUUGUUCGGAAUUACUGGGCGUAAAGGGCUCGUAGGUGGCCAACUAAGUCAGACGUGAAAUCCCUCGGCUUAACCGGGGAACUGCGUCUGAUACUGGAUGGCUUGAGUUCGGGAGAGGGAUGCGGAAUUCCAGGUGUAGCGGUGAAAUGCGUAGAUAUCAGGAGGAACACCGGUGGUGUAGACGGCUUUCUGGACCGAUAUUGACGCUGAGGAGCGAAAGCCAGGGGAGCAAACGGG